rnacentral:rRNA from 1 species
GCGAACGCUGGCGGCAGGCCUAAUACAUGCAAGUCGAGCGGUCCCUUCGGGGGCAGCGGCGGACGGGUGAGUAACGCGUGGGAACGUGCCCUUUGGUACGGAACAACUGAGGGAAACUUCAGCUAAUACCGUAUGUGCCCUUCGGGGGAAAGAUUUAUCGCCAUUGGAGCGGCCCGCGUUAGAUUAGCUAGUUGGUAGGGUAAAGGCCUACCAAGGCGACGAUCUAUAGCUGGUCUGAGAGGAUGAUCAGCCACACUGGGACUGGAGACACGGCCCAGACUCCUACGGGAGGCAGCAGUAGGGAAUCUUGCGCAAUGGGCGAAAGCCUGACGCAGCCAUGCCGCGUGAAUGAUGAAGGUCUUAGGAUUGUAAAAUUCUUUCACCGGGGACGAUAAUGACGGUACCCGGAGAAGAAGCCCCGGCUAACUUCGUGCCAGCCGCCGCGGUAAUAC